GAUGAACGCUGGCGGCGUGCCUAAUACAUGCAAGUCGAGCGAACGGACGAGAAGCUUGCUUCUCUGAUGUUAGCGGCGGACGGGUGAGUAACACGUGGAUAACCUACCUAUAAGACUGGGAUAACUUCGGGAAACCGUAGCUAAUACCGGAUAAUAUUUUGAACCGCAUGGUUCAAAAGUGAAAGACGGUCUUGCUGUCACUUAUAGAUGGAUCCGCGCUGCAUUAGCUAGUUGGUAAGGUAACGGCUUACCAAGGCAACGAUGCAUAGCCGACCUGAGAGGGUGAUCGGCCACACUGGAACUGAGACACGGUCCAGACUCCUACGGGAGGCAGCAGUAGGGAAUCUUCCGCAAUGGGCGAAAGCCUGACGGAGCAACGCCACGUGAGUGAUGAAGGUCUUCGGAUCGUAAAACUCUGUUAUUAGUGAAGAACAUAUGUGUAAGUAACUGUGCACAUCUUGACGGUACCUAAUCAGAAAGCCACGGCUAACUACGUG
rnacentral:rRNA from 1 species